rnacentral:rRNA from 1 species
CACGGAGUUAGCCGGGGCUUAUUCUCCCGGUACCGUCAUUAUCUUCCCGGGUAAAAGAGCUUUACAACCCUAAGGCCUUCUUCACUCACGCGGCAUUGCUGGAUCAGGGUUGCCCCCAUUGUCCAAUAUUCCCCACUGCUGCCUCCCGUAGGAGUCUGGGCCGUGUCUCAGUCCCAGUGUGGCUGAUCAUCUUCUCAAACCAGCUAGAGAUCGUCGGCUUGGUAGGCCAUUACCCCACCAACUACCUAAUCUCACGCGGGCCCCUCCAAGGGCGAUAAAUCUUUCUCCCGAAGGACGUAUACGGUAUUAGCAGUCGUUUCCAACUGUUAUUCCGUACCCAAGGGCAGGUUCCCACGCGUUACUCACCCGUCCGCCACUAGAUCCGAAGAUCCCGUUCGACUUGCAUGUGUUAGGCAUGCCGCCAGCGUCGUUCUGAGCCAGGAUCAAACUC